ensembl:lncRNA
CGUUGACUGUCAGCAACCAAUCACGUGCUGCUCACCUGCCCGCGUCGCAAAGACAAUCACAACAGGUGUAGACGGUCCGCGUAUUAAACGUCACCAGGGGAAUAAAACGAUGAAUUCCCCCCGUUUCGACGAACGGAGGAAAGACCAGCUGAUCUGACCCGACCUGACAACUAAACCAAAAUACAACAUAAUCCAGAUGGCUGUUUUACGCGCUGCGGCUCCGGGGCCGCCGCCAACAACGGCGCAGAGGCGGGGGCCGCGGCAGGGGGGUUCCCGACCGGCGGGCGGUGCAAAGGAAUGGACGUUAAACGCGAGGUCGAGGACGGAGAGGAUUUCAGCCGGAACUCGACAUUUUUACUUUCUAGUUUUCAGACUGAGUUCGGAAUGAGGGGUGAACUGGUCCGAAUGGUUGGAUUGUUUACCAAGUUCAGUCCUGUCGCUGUGCUUUUGUGACACCUACAAAUGGUUUGAGAUCCUCCAUUGGUGCUCAAUUAAUAUUAAUUGAUAAAGAAUUCCCAACAGUGGUGAUACCUCUAUUGACAAAAUGUGCUUUUCUUAUAUAAAUCAGAUAUUGUUGUGUUUUGGACUGUUGUAAAAUGACAUACAUUUGGAGUUGUGUUGCAUGGACACUUUUAGACUCUGCCAACAUUCUAAAUGGGCUAAAUGAUAUUAAGAACAUACAGAUUAAUCAAUAAUGACAAUAAUCAUCAUAGUUGAUCACCAUACUUUGCCUGUGAAUAUUGUAUCCAUGCUACUGCAGUACAACGGAUUUGCAUUGCAUUUGUAAACUGCCAAUCACUAUAAACAGUUCUAAUUGUCAGUAUGUUCUUAGAAUGGGGAAAUGUUCUUCCAGUGUGGAAUAAAAUGCCGAAAGCAAGACUCAAGAGGUCAUCGUUACCAUUCAUUUUAGCGGUAUCGUUUUCGUUUAACUUUCAGUUCACUUUUCCGCAACAUGAAGUCCAUUUCAUUGAAAAG